rnacentral:rRNA from 1 species
UACGGGGGGGGCAAGCGUUGUUCGGAAUUACUGGGCGUAAAGGGCUUGUAGGUGGCCAACUAAGUCAAACGUGAAAUCCCUCGGCUUAACCGGGGAACUGCGUCUGAUACUGGAUGGCUUGAGUGUGGGAGAGGGAUGCGGAAUUCCAGGUGUAGCGGUGAAAUGCGUAGAUAUCUGGAGGAACACCGGUGGCGAAGGCAGUCCCCUGGGCCUGUACUGACGCUCAUGCACGAAAGCGUGGGGAGCAAACAGG